rnacentral:rRNA from 1 species
GGAAUAUUGGACAAUGGGCGAAAGCCUGAUCCAGCAAUGCCGCGUGAGUGAUGAAGGCCUUAGGGUUGUAAAGCUCUUUUACCCGGGAUGAUAAUGACAGUACCUGGUAAAGAAACCCCGGCUAACUCCGUGCCAGCCGCCGCGGUAAUACGGAGGGGGUUAGCGUUGUUCGGAAUUACUGGGCGUAAAGCGUACGUAGGCGGAUCAGAAAGUUAGGGGCGAAAUCCCGAGGCUCAACCUCGGAACUGCCUCUAAAACUCCUGGUCUUGAGUUCGAGAGAGGUGAGUGGAAUUCCAAGUGUAGAGGUGAAAUUCGUAGAUAUUUGGAGGAACACCAGUGGCGAAGGCGGCUCACUGGCUCGAUACUGACGCUGAGGUACGAAAGUGUGGGGAGCAAACAGG